rnacentral:pre_miRNA from 1 species
CUAGUACUCCCUCCGUACUAAAAUUCUUGUCUUAGAUUUGUCUAAAUACGGAUGUAUCUAAUACUAAAACGUGACUUGAUACAUCUGUAUUUAGACAAAUUUAAGAUAAGAAUUUUGGGACGGAGGGAGUACUAA